UACAGAGGGUGCAAGCGUUAAUCGGAAUUACUGGGCGUAAAGCGCGCGUAGGUGGUUUGUUAAGUUGGAUGUGAAAUCCCCGGGCUCAACCUGGGAACUGCAUUCAAACUGACAAGCUAGAGUAUGGUAGAGGGUGGUGGAAUUUCCUGUGUAGCGGUGAAAUGCGUAGAUAUAGGAAGGAACACCAGUGGCGAAGGCGACCACCUGGACUGAUACUGACACUGAGGUGCGAAAGCGUGGGGAGCAAACAGG
rnacentral:rRNA from 1 species